GGUCAUGAAGGAGGGCGUGGGGGCUGGUGUAGUGUUAAUCUCACCGCACAAAAAUAGGCUCUGAUAUGCGGUCAGAAUACACUUCACAGCUUCAAACAAUGUCACAUAAUAUGAGGGGCUGGUCAACAGACUACGGAUCGCCUCUAGGCUAGGCGUACAACGACUCUACAUAUUGGGCGAUUCCAAGUUGGUCGUCAAUCAAGUUGAAAGACGCCACUUGCCAAAACCCAAAAAU
rnacentral:lncRNA from 1 species